UUGGCUUUAGCCUGUUAUGCAACAAAGCAAGAAUUAAACUGAACGCAAAACAUUAACUUUGUGUUGUUUACAAACUUGACAAAUGGCAGUAAGCAAUGUUAUUGUAUUUUUGUAAAGUUUCCCUUUAGGUGACAAAGCGAGGCUGAAGCAGUGGCUGGUGAGCACAAGACAGCAGGACUGGAAACCAACAGGAUCAUCACGUCUUUGCAGUGCUCAUUUUGAAGAGCAUGCCUUUACUGUGGACUCAAAGGUUAAAUUAUUUCUUUUUUAAUGGACAGCAAUUUUUAUGAAGUUCACAUUUGCAACAAUUUAUUGUUAAAUUGACUAACACUUUGAAUCAUAAAAUGGCGGUUAUUUAAACAUUCCCAACAGCUGAACACUACAACUAUCCAUUUUAAAUUACUGCUGUUUUUAUGUUUUCUAAAAUUAGGUAUUUGCAUGUAGUUGUAGUGUCUGCUACCAUCUACUGGUCAUUAUUAGUUAGUGUCAUCAGUCAUUUUCAGUUUAAGUUGGCGCAGCCUGGAGUAAACAGGAAUCAUGUUGCAAAAAAAAUUUGAGUGAUACCACAUGAACAACUUCUUAUGCUUAGACCAAAUGUGCCCUGUUAGAUAAAGGUAACAGCACUAGCCAAGUAGUAGUCUCUAAGAAUGCUAACUAAAUGAAACCUUUUAAAUAAUUGGACAAGUAUAUCAAAACCUCUAAAGUUUUCAUGCUGAGCUACCACCUGGUUUGAGACAUUAAGUGUCUUAAUGAAUUUAAGUACUGGUAUUCACAAUUUAAUUGAUGAAUUUCUUUGUUUUUCAGACUUCAUCACCAACCACUGAUGAUAUGGUGGAUUCAUCUGCUGCAGCCUGUUUCCUUUCCACCCAAUGCAACUCCCAAAGUACUAGAUUAUAUCUUUUUAAGUUCCUGGUAAAAUAACAAACAUACAGGUUUUCUGCAAACGAGUUAAGUAUUUAUAAAUCACAAAUAAAUACUAAAAUGCUAGUGUCCUCUCACAAGUGUCCAUGUCAUGCUAUCUGAUUUACAUUAAUUACAUGCUGUUCACUACACAUAUUGUCAGUUUGUUUUUUCAGUUUUAC